GAUCAUUACAGAUUACUGUAUGCCAGGAAUGACAGGCUAUGAUCUCCUUAGAAAGAUUAAGGAAUCUAAAUCUUUCAAGGACAUCCCAGUUGUGAUUAUGUCUUCAGAGAAUGUUCCAUCAAGAAUUAAUAGAUGCUUGGAAGAAGGAGCUGAAGAAUUCUUUCUGAAGCCAGUUCAAUUAUCAGAUGUGGACAAGCUUAGACCCCAUUUAAUGAAGGGAAAAUGUCAAGAAAAUGAGCCUAAUAACAAGAGGAAAGGAGACAUAGAAGAAUUUCACUCACCAGACAGAACAAGAACAAGAUAUGAUGACUUGGAAGUUGUCUGAUUAAUAAUAUAAUUAUAGAGGAUAGUAUAGGAAAUUCCUAUAAACAUUUUUCCUCUUCUUUUUAAAUUU
rnacentral:misc_RNA from 1 species